UGAACCGGGAAGAGCUCAAAUUUGAAAUCUGGCGUCCUCAGGGCGUCCGAGUUGUAAUCUAUAGAGGCGUUUUCCGUGCCGGACCGUGUCCAAGUUCCUUGGAACAGGAUAUCAAAGAGGGUGACAAUCCCGUACUUGACACGACGACCGGUGCUCUGUGAUACGUCUUCUACGAGUCGAGUUGUUUGGGAAUGCAGCUCAAAAUGGGUGGUGAGUUCCAUCUAAAGCUAAAUAUUGGCGAGAGACCGAUAGCGAACAAGUACCGUGAGGGAAAGAUGAAAAGCACUUUGGAAAGAGAGUUAAACAGUACGUGAAAUUGUUGAAAGGGAAACGAUUGAAGUCAGUCGUGACCGAGAGGCUCAGCCGGUUCUGCCGGUGUAUUCCCCUCGGUCGGGUCAACAUCAGUUUUGUCCGGUGGAUAAGGGCGGUAGGAAGGUGGCACCCUCGGGUGUGUUAUAGCCUGCCGUCGCAUACAUCGGGUGAGACUGAGGAACGCAGCUCGCCUUUAUGGCCGGGGUUCGCCCACGUCCGAGCUUAGGAUGUUGACAUAAUGGCUUUAAACGACCCGUCUUGAAACACGGACCA
rnacentral:rRNA from 1 species